GACGAACGCUGGCGGCGUGCCUAAUACAUGCAAGUAGAACGCUGAAGAGAGGAGCUUGCUCUUCUUGGAUGAGUUGCGAACGGGUGAGUAACGCGUAGGUAACCUGCCUUGUAGCGGGGGAUAACUAUUGGAAACGAUAGCUAAUACCGCAUAACAAUGGAUGACACAUGUCAUUUAUUUGAAAGGGGCAAUUACUCCACUACAAGAUGGACCUGCGUUGUAUUAGCUAGUAGGUGAGGUAACGGCUCACCUAGGCGACGAUACAUAGCCGACCUGAGAGGGUGAUCGGCCACACUGGGACUGAGACACGGCCCAGACUCCUACGGGAGGCAGCAGUAGGGAAUCUUCGGCAAUGGGGGCAACCCUGACCGAGCAACGCCGCGUGAGUGAAGAAGGUUUUCGGAUCGUAAAGCUCUGUUGUAAGUCAAGAACGAGUGUGAGAGUGGAAAGUUCACACUGUGACGGUAGCUUACCAGAAAGGGACGGCUAACUACGUG
rnacentral:rRNA from 1 species